rnacentral:rRNA from 1 species
GCGGCGUGCUUAACACAUGCAAGUCGAACGGAAAGGCCCUGCUUUUGUGGGGUGCUCGAGUGGCGAACGGGUGAGUAACACGUGAGUAACCUGCCCUUGACUUUGGGAUAACUUCAGGAAACUGGGGCUAAUACCGGAUAGGAGCUCCUGCUGCAUGGUGGGGGUUGGAAAGUUUCGGCGGUUGGGGAUGGACUCGCGGCUUAUCAGCUUGUUGGUGGGGUAGUGGCUUACCAAGGCUUUGACGGGUAGCCGGCCUGAGAGGGUGACCGGCCACAUUGGGACUGAGAUACGGCCCAGACUCCUACGGGAGGCAGCAGUGGGGAAUAUUGCACAAUGGGCGGAAGCCUGAUGCAGCAACGCCGCGUGCGGGAUGACGGCCUUCGGGUUGUAAACCGCUUUCGCCUGUGACGAAGCGUGAGUGACGGUAAUGGGUAAAGAAGCACCGGCUAACUACGUGCCAGCAGCCGCGGUGAUACGUAGGGUGCGAGCGUUGUCCGGAUUUAUUGGGCGUAAAGGGCUCGUAGGUGGUUGAUCGCGUCGGAAGUGUAAUCUUGGGGCUUAACCCUGAGCGUGCUUUCGAUACGGGUUGACUUGAGGAAGGUAGGGGAGAAUGGAAUUCCUGGUGGAGCGGUGGAAUGCGCAGAUAUCAGGAGGAACACCAGUGGCGAAGGCGGUUCUCUGGGCCUUUCCUGACGCUGAGGAGCGAAAGCGUGGGGAGCGAACAGGCUUAGAUACCCUGGUAGUCCACGCUGUAAACGGUAGGUACUAGGUGUGGGGUCCAUUCCACGGGUUCCGUGCCGUAGCUAACGCUUUAAGUACCCCGCCUGGGGAGUACGGCCGCAAGGCUAAAACUCAAAGGAAUUGACGGGGCCCCGCACAAGCGGCGGAGCAUGCGGAUUAAUUCGAUGCAACGCGUAGAACCUUACCUGGGUUUGACAUGGAUCGGGAGUGCUCAGAGAUGGGUGUGCCUCUUUUGGGGUCGGUUCACAGGUGGUGCAUGGCUGUCGUCAGCUCGUGUCGUGAGAUGUUGGGUUAAGUCCCGCAACGAGCGCAACCCUUGUUCACUGUUGCCAGCACGUUAUGGUGGGGACUCAGUGGAGACCGCCGGGGUCAACUCGGAGGAAGGUGGGGAUGACGUCAAGUCAUCAUGCCCCUUAUGUCCAGGGCUUCACGCAUGCUACAAUGGCUGGUACAGAGAGUGGCGAGCCUGUGAGGGUGAGCGAAUCUCGGAAAGCCGGUCUCAGUUCGGAUUGGGGUCUGCAACUCGACCUCAUGAAGUCGGAGUCGCUAGUAAUCGCAGAUCAGCAACGCUGCGGUGAAUACGUUCCCGGGGCUUGUACACACCGCCCGUCAAGUCAUGAAAGUUGGUAACACCCGAAGCCGGUGGCCUAACCGUUGUGGGGGAGCCGUCGAAGGUGGGACUGGUGAUUAGG